rnacentral:rRNA from 1 species
AUGGUGAUUGGGGAUUUGAAUGAGAUUAUGUUCCCGUUUGAGAAAGAAGGAGGGAACGAUAGACCAGCUCAUUUUAUGCGGGCGUUUAGGGAAGCCUUGAUUAACUGUAAUCUUUCUGAUCAUGGGUUUGUUGGUGACAAAUUUACUUGGCAUAGGGCACUAAUAAGGGAGAGGUUGGACCGUGCGUUGGUGAGCGAGGAGUGGAACACCAUGUUUCCAGGAGCCAUCCUCUAGCACCUGGACUACUACAAGUCUGACCAUAGGCCGAUUUUAAUGUCUCUGCAUGAGGAAAUUACUCAUGAGACGGUGGGUCAAGCUGUUCUCUGCUUCGAAGCUCGAUGGCUGAAAGAAGAUAAAUUCCGCGAGGUGGUAGAACAGGCGUGCUCAUCAUCUGAACAAAAUGGGGGUAAUGUUGGACUUGCGGAAUGA